rnacentral:rRNA from 1 species
GCGAUGAUGAAGGUUCGGAUCGUAACUCUGUUGUAGGGAAGAACAAGUGGAUACUGACCCACCUUGACGGUACCUAACCAGAAAGCCACGGCUACUACGUGCCACGCCGCGGUAAUAUAGUGGCAAGCGUUGUCCGGAAUUAUUGGGCGUAAAGCGCUCGCAGGCGGUCUUUAAGUCUGAUGUGAAAGCCCACGGCUUAACCGUGGAGGGUCAUUGGAAACUGGAGGACUUGAGUACAGAAGAGGAGAGUGGAAUUCCACGUGUAGCGGUGAAAUGCGUAGAGAUGUGGAGGAACACCAGUGGCGAAGGCGACUCUCUGGUCUGUAACUGACGCUGAGGAGCGAAAGCGUGGGGAGCGAACAGGAUUAGAUACCCUGGUAGUCCACGCCGUAAACGAUGAGUGCUAGGUGUCAGGGGGUUUCCGACCCUUAGUGCUGAAGUUAACGCAUUAAGCACUCCGCCUGGGGAGUACGGCCGCCAGG